rnacentral:rRNA from 1 species
GAUGAACGCUGGCGGCGUGCUUAACACAUGCAAGUCGAACGGUGAACGAGGGAGCUUGCUCCCUCCGGAUCAGUGGCGAACGGGUGAGUAACACGUGAGCAAUCUGCCCUGGACUCUGGGAUAAGCGUUGGAAACGACGUCUAAUACCGGAUACGAGGCGUGGGGGCAUCCCCAACGCCUGGAAAGAACUUCGGUCCAGGAUGAGCUCGCGGCCUAUCAGCUAGUUGGUGAGGUAACGGCUCACCAAGGCGACGACGGGUAGCCGGCCUGAGAGGGUGACCGGCCACACUGGGACUGAGACACGGCCCAGACUCCUACGGGAGGCAGCAGUGGGGAAUAUUGCACAAUGGGCGCAAGCCUGAUGCAGCAACGCCGCGUGAGGGACGACGGCCUUCGGGUUGUAAACCUCUUUUAGCAGGGAAGAAGCGAAAGUGACGGUACCUGCAGAAAAAGCACCGGCUAACUACGUGCCAGCCGCCGCGGUAAAAC